CCUACGGGUGGCAGCAGUCGAGAAUCAUUCACAAUGGGGGAAACUCUGAUGGUGCGACGCCGCGUGGGGGAAUGAAGGUCUUCGGAUUGUAAACCCCUUUCAUGUGGGAGCAAAUUAAAAAGAUAGUACCACAAGAGGAAGAGACCGCUAACUCUGUCCCAGCAGCCGCGGUAAUACAGAGGUCUCAAGCGUUGUUCGGAAUCACGGGGCGUAAAGGGGGCGUAGGCUGUGUCGUAAGUCGUGUGUGAAAGGCGCGGGCUCAACCCGCGGACGGCACAUGAUACUGGGAGACUAGAGUAAUGGAGGGGGAACCGGAAUUCGCGGUGUAGCAGUGAAAUGCGUAGAUAUCGAGAGGAACACUCGUGGCGAAGGCGGGUUCCUGGACAACAACUGACGCUGAGGCACGAAGGCCAGGGGAGCGAAAGGGAUUAGAUACCCUUGUAGUC
rnacentral:rRNA from 1 species